rnacentral:misc_RNA from 1 species
GAUGAAGAACGCAGCGAAAUGCGAUAAGUAAUGUGAAUUGCAGAAUCCAGUGAAUCAUCGAAUCUUUGAACGCACAUUGCGCCCGCCAGUAUUCUGGCGGGCAUGCCUGUUCGAGCGUCAUUUCAACCCUCAAGCUCAGCUUGGUGUUGGGACUCGCGGUAACCCGCGUUCCCCAAAUCGAUUGGCGGUCACGUCGAGCUUCCAUAGCGUAGUAAUCAUACACCUCGUUACUGGUAAUCGUCGCGGCCACGCCGUAAAACCCCAACUUCUGAAUGUUGACCUCGGAUCAGGUAGGAAUACCCGCUGAACUUAAGCAUAUCAAUAAGCGGAGGA